GAUGAACGCUGGCGGCGUGCUUAACACAUGCAAGUCGAGCGAGAAACUUACAUGCAGACACUUCGGUAGAAGCGAGUAGCGGAAAGCGGCGGACGGGUGAGUAACGCGUAGGCAACCUGCCCUUCACAGAGGUAUAGCCUCGGGAAACCGGGAUUAAAACCACAUAAAAUCAUAGGUUCGCAUGAACCAAAGGUCAAAGAUUUAUCGGUGAAGGAUGGGCCUGCGUCUGAUUAGCUGGUUGGUAGGGUAAAAGCCUACCAAGGCGACGAUCAGUAGCCGACCUGAGAGGGUGAUCGGCCACAUUGGAACUGAGACACGGUCCAAACUCCUACGGGAGGCAGCAGUGGGGGAUAUUGCACAAUGGGGGAAACCCUGAUGCAGCAACGCCGCGUGAGGUAUGAAGGCCUUUGGGUUGUAAGCCUCUGUCCUAGGGGAAGAAAAAAAUGACGGUACCCGAGGAGGAAGC
rnacentral:rRNA from 1 species